rnacentral:misc_RNA from 1 species
UACCUGAGUAUUGACGUACCACAAUGCCACAUUCGAUUCAUGGACAGCAUCAACUUCUUACCUAUGGCUUUAGCGGACUUGCCAGAAUCGUUUGGAAUAGAAGAAGAAUCCAAAGGGUACUUUCCUCAUUUUUUUAAUCGCAAAGAAAAUCAAGGAAUUUGCCUGCCACAUCUACCGGACAUAAAAUAUUAUCACCCGGACGGCAUGAAGCCAAAAAGAAGAAAAUCGUUCCUGGAGUGGUAUGAAAUACACAAAGACGAACCCUUCAAAUUCCAAGAAGAGCUUCUAAAGUAUUGUCGAUCAGACGUAGACAUUCUCCGGAAGUGCUGCUUAAAGUUUCGGGAAAUGUUUAUACAAAUGACGAAUAAAGACGGCAGCGGCGGAAUCAACCCAUUUCAAAAUUGCAUCACCAUAGCAUCCGCCUGCAAUCUUGUCUACAGAACAAUGUUUUUAGAGUCCGAAAGCAUUGGUAUCAUUCCACCACAUGGCUACAGACCGGAGGAUAAACAAUCGAUCAAAGCAAUGAAAUGGUUGAAAUUCAUCGCAAGUUCUGAGGGUCUUAGAAUCCAACAUGCCGCCAAUGACGGAGAGAAACAUAUAGGGUCUUACAAAGUCGAUGGGUAUAUCACAAAUGAAGGAGAAAAGGACACUAUCUUGGAAUUCCACGGGUGUUUCUGGCACGGUUGUACGAAAUGUUAUGCCCGUAACACGAUCAACACCGUAACCGAUUGUACCAUGGCCGAUCUCCACAUGAGAACGUUGGACAAGCAACGUUAUCUACAAGAUCUAGGAUGUAACUACAGAUGCAUGUGGGAAUGCGACUUUGAAAGACAAAGUAAGCUUGAUGAACCACUCAGGUCAUUUUUGAACACACUAGACAUCGAAGAACCUCUAGAACCAAGAGACGCUUUCUAUGGAGGAAGAACAGAAGCAUUUACGAUGUAUGCCGAAGCCUCCGAAGACCGGCAGAUUAAGUACUAUGACGUGACAUCCCUCUAUCCUUAUAUUAACAAGGUCGGGAAAGUUCCCCUCGGCCAUCCUAAAAUCAUCACGGAAAACUUUGACAACAUUGAAGAAUACGAAGGGUUGAUCCUAUGCAAGAUGUCGCCACCAAGAGAUUUAUUCGUACCCGUUCUUCCCUUCCGAACCAAUGGGAAAUUGUUGUUUCCGUUAUGCCGCACGUGCGCUAAGGAAUCGUCAAAAGAAAAGUGUAGUCAUGGCGACAACGGAAGGGCCAUCACUGGCACGUGGGUGACUGACGAAGUGAAGACAGCCAUCAGGAAAGGAUACCGCUUGUUAGAGACAUAUGAAGUAUGGCAUUUCGAAAACAUUUCACAAUACGACACUGUGUCAAAAACUGGGGGUGUAUUCACUGAUUAUGUCAACACCUUCUUGAAGUUAAAACAGGAAGCUAGUGGGUGGCCAAAAUAGUGUCAAACUGAGCACGAUAAACAGAAAUACGUCAAGGACUACUACGACAGAGAAGGGAUACUUCUGGACAGGGAAAACAUCAAGAAAAAUCCCGGACUGAAAAAACUGGCCAAGCUCAUGCUUAACAGUUUCUGGGGUAAAUUUGGUCAGCGAACAAACUUGAUCCAGUCAUCUUAUAUUUCGGAUCCGUGCGAGUACUUUGACAUGAUGUCAAGUGAUAGUCAAAUUGUGAAAGAUGUCAACAUCGUAUCAGAUCAGAUGGUGAGGAUGGACUGGAAUUACAACAGCGAUUUUCUGACAGCUUCUGGCCGCACCAAUGCUGUGGUCGCCGCCUACACAACGGCACAGGCAAGACUCAAACUGUAUAGCUACCUGGAAACACUGGACCGACGGGCCCUUUACUGUGACACAGAUUCGGUGGUAUUUACGGUCGAACCUGGGCAAUGGGAGCCCGAGCUCGGAGACAAUCUUGGUGAUCUCACUGAUGAGGUUGAAGGAUCAAGCAUUGUGACCUUUGUCACUGGAGGUCCAAAAAACUACGCAUAUACUCUCUCAAAACCAAACAGAGAUGGUGAAAUGAGUUGCUGCAAGGUUCGGGGGAUAACUCUGAAUUAUAAAAACUCCCUAGAAAUCAAUCAUGAAACAGUGAAAGAUAUGGUUUGUGGAAAGAAGGAAAAGGUCACGGUGUGUGAUGAUCUUAAAAUUUGCCGUGACAAACAAUCAUGUAACCUCUUAACAAAAAUAGAAACCAAAGACUAUAAAAUUGUGUUUGACAAGCGCGUCAUUUCAGACAAGUAUGUCACUCUUCCAUAUGGAAUGUAAAAAUAUACUUACAGGUAGAAAACGUUAAUUCCACAAAACACCAUGUAGACCUUUCAUGACACCCGAAUUCAACUUACGUAGCAAUUGUUUUUAUAUGAUAUUGUACCAGUUCUAUUGAUUGACUAUCUAUUCAUACUUAAUUCACAUGUACAUAUAUGUAUAAGUAGACACGCAUGAAUAAUUUUAUAAUGUGUAUAACCUGUAUAAUUGUUGUGUAUAUGUAUGUUUGAUAUUCCUGGUUUUUUUUAUUUUUAUG